CAUAUAUAAAUACUCCGGCGUUCCAAAACCUUUACGAUAAAUCUCCAAACGCAGUCAGUAUGUUUAAGCAGCGCAUAAAGUAGUAUUCCUUCCGACGGCGUCACAGAUCUCCGGCGACGAUGCCUCGCCGUGGCGUCGCCGAUCUUCAGUCCCAAUCACCACUACCUCUAGUCGUUGCGCUCAAUUGCAUUGAAGAUGUACAGCUCGAGCAGGAAUGCUUGUCCGGCGUGGCGCAGGUGGAGCACGUUCCCCUGAGUCGACUGGCAGAGUCGCGGAUCGAGUCGGCGGACGCGAUUUUGUUGCAUUCUCUGUCGUUCCUCCCACGCGCCGCGUACCGCCGGCUUCGCCCCUGGCAGUUGAUCUUGUGCCUCGGAUCCUCCGACCGCGAUGUCGAGUCGGCUCUCGCGGCCGACCUCGGGUUGAACCGGAUGGUCCACGUUGAUGUGAGCAGAUCAGAGGAGGUGGCGGAUACGGUGAUGGCGCUGAUUUUGGGGCUACUCAGGCGUACGCAUCUGCUGUCGAGUCACACUCUCUCGGCAUCAGGGUGGCUCGGUUCAGUGCAGCCGCUCUGCCGCGGGAUGCGCCGUUGCCGUGGAUUGGUGUUGGGGAUUGUCGGUAGAUCUGCGUCCGCCACUUCACUGGCUAAUAAGAGCUUGGCGUUUAAGAUGAGUGUAUUGUACUUUGACGUGCAAGAGGGAAAUGGUAUGUUAAGAAGAUCUUCCUUGAGAUUCCCUGCUGCUGCCAGAAGAAUGGAUACACUUAAUGACUUGCUAGCUGCAAGUGACCUCAUUUCGCUGCACUGUUCGCUGACUAACGACACUAUUCAAAUUCUUAAUGCGAGUUGUUUGCAGCAUAUAAAACCUGGGGCAUUUCUGGUAAAUACCGGGAGCAGCCAGCUUCUGGAUGAUUGUUCUGUGAAACAACUUUUGAUUGAAGGCAAGCUUGCAGGAUGUGCUCUGGAUGGUGCUGAAGGACCACAAUGGAUGGAGGCAUGGGUUAGAGAGAUGCCCAAUGUUUUGAUACUUCCCCGUAGUGCCGACUUUAGUGAAGAAGUCUGGAUGGAGAUAAGGGAGAAGGCUAUUUCAGUACUGCAACAGUUCUUUAUUGAUAAUACAUUUCCAAAAUCUGCUUUAUCUGACAAGGAAGAAGAGGUGGAAAGUGAGAUUGUGUAUGAAAACGAACCAACUCAUAUGAUAGAGAAUGAAACUUCAUUCGAGGCUACAGUGGGUGAAACAUUGGCUGAAGAUAUUCAGAUGGCAGCCGAAAGACCCCUGAAAAACGCUGUUAAUAAGUCCAUGGAGGCUUCCUCUCAAAAUCAAGGCUCUGUUUUGUCUCAAAGUACUUCAAGUAGAUCUGAAACAAAUAGGAGCAGAUCAAGUAAGAAGGCUAGAAGGAGGCUGGGUCGACUAAAAUCUCGAAAUAAAGCAGAUGAUCCAUUGACUUCAGAAAAGGAAAGUACGUCUUACAGGGAAGAUGAUGCUACCAUCAGUAGCGCAGAUCAAGUGUUGACCUCUAGUUCACAUCUCCAUUCUUCUGAAGAUUCAAGGAACAGGAAGCUAUCGGCUGUCUCACAAAUGGAAGUAUCUCCAGAGCUGCUCUUGAAAUCGAGUGUAGAACUUAGGAGGAGAUCUGGUGAACUUCUGAAAGAUGGUUAUAUAAUAGCUUUGCAUGCAAAAGAUCCUCCUGGUCUUUAUGUCUCGAGGCAAAGAGUUAAAGGUGGCGGUUGGUUCCUUGACACAAUGUCAAAUGUAGUGAAACGGGAUCCUGCAGCCCAGUUCCUGGUUGCAUUUAAAAGCAAGGAUACCAUUGGUUUUAGAUCAUUCACUGCUGGAGGAAAGCUGUUGCAGUCCGACAUACAUGGUAACAUAUGUCGGAGAUUUUGUUUUGGCUUUGCAGAUAAACAGAAGGAUGGAAUUCGUAUUUGCUAGUUACAGCUUUGAUGUUUGGGAGGGUUGGAAAUUUGAAGGUGGUUCCUUGGAAGAGUGUAGACUGGUGAACUGCCGAAAUGCACAAGCUGUGCUGGACGUACGCAUUGAGGUCCUUGCAGCUCUAGGUGAAGACGGCAUUACGCGAUGGCUGGAUUAGGCUGUUGUGCCGCUAGCAUCUCGAUCGGUUUUGCUUCCCUCGGUUUGUGGCUCUUAAUUUUUGUAUCCAUUUCAAAUUGGAAUUUCUGUGCUUCCCUAAUCGUCGCGUCUGUGUGAUCAACAAUAUUCUUCUUGUUGUGGCUGCGGUUGGUGGCGAGCAAUAGUCGCAUUCGGGUUUGGUGUCUUCCGACUCUGUAUCGAAGUAAAGAAAGAUCCCGACCAAGCUGGCAAAAAGGGACAAUGGUUAGUUGUGUUUUUACCCUUAUCCUAUAAGGUUUAGAGUAUUGUGAAAAAUGACGAGUCUAUGAGAGUACUAAACGGAAGAUUGUUAUUGCAAGUAUGCGUGUGUGCGUGUGUGUGUGUAUAAUCAAUCAAAAUUUAUUCAUUCUCAAAUGUGUAAAAUGUCGAGGUUACUAUAAUCUUUACAAAGCCCGACAACCAGCUUUAGAGUGUAUUGUAAAUUAGUGACCGAGUGAUUGAUUAAUUCCAUUUGUUCACA